rnacentral:rRNA from 1 species
GAUGAACGCUAGCGGCAGGCCUAACACAUGCAAGUCGAGGGAGGAGCUUUCGGGCUUCGACCGGCGUACGGGUGCGUAACGCGUAUACAAUCUGCUUUUCACAUAGCGAUAGCCCGAAGAAAUUUGGAUUAAUACCUAAUGGUAUAUAGAGGUGGCAUCACCUUUAUAUUAAACCUGAGGCGGUGAAAGAUGGGUAUGCGUUCUAUUAGCUAGUUGGAGAGGUAACGGCUCACCAAGUCGACGCUAGAUAGGGGUUCUGCGAGGAUGAUCCGCCACACUGGAAGGGAGAAACGGUACAGACUACUACGGGAGGCAGCAGUGGGGAAUAUGGGGCAAGGGGCGAAAGCUUGACGCAGCAAUACCGCGUGGGUGAAGAAGGCCUUGGGAUUGUAAAGCUCUGUUGUGGGGAAAGAAAAGCAGCGGGUUAAAAUACCGAUGUCGUGACGGUACCUAAUGAGAAAGCAACGGCUAACUUCGUG